CCCCGGUGCCCCGCUGCCGCCCGUGACUCAGGCAGCGCCGCCGCUGCCGGCCCGGCCCUCCCGGUUCCGCCGCUUUGUGAGUCAGGCUCGCACCCCGGGCCACCCCCCGAACGCUGGGACGUGCUGCUUGAUGCUCCACAGACCUCUCCUUGCUUUCAAAGCCAUCUCCUGCGCCCCGGGAAAAUCUCCCUUUCAGCGUUAACAACCAGGAAUGACUUAACGAAGCAGAGCGAGGAAGCGCUUGAACAUCUUCCACUCUGCGUGCGAAGAGCGGAGCGCAUCUGCUGACUACCAGCGGCGAUGGGGUGGGAAGGCAGCUGCCUUCUCUGCGAGGGAGGAGAGAGCUGCUCGGUGAUGCUCUGGGCACUACAGGAAAAGCUGUCAUCUUCAACAGCAGCGCCCUGCCUCUCAGCGAUCUAACACCCACCGCUUCCACAGCUCCUUUCCCCCUGGCUAAAAUCCAUGUUUAAUGUAAUGCGCCUGGAACACUAAAGAGGAAUUAAACUGCAGCUACAGCUCUUAAUUUGGCUAGAAGUGUUAAAUAGCAAUGGAAAAAAGUACAGCGUUUGUGUAACCUUGAGGAGGAAGACCCCAAAUAUGAGAAGGAUGCUCUUUGGACCCAAGAGGAAAUACUGAAUACACACCAUGCAGCUUGUUAUGCUGCCAUUUUCACAGAAAACAGAGUUUUCAUCAGAUAAAACCAUCAGAUCCAUCAGAUAAAGCAGCUCUGGGAGUAGCUGAAUUAGUGGAACCCCAGUUUAAAUGGAUUUUGUGGUUCCUGCCUGUUUUACAGUUCUCUGCUGUCCUCAGCUUGUGGCAAUAAAACUCUUCUCCACUUCC